UACGGAGGGGUGCAAGCGUUAUCCGGAUUCACUGGGUUUAAAGGGUGCGUAGGAGGGCAGGUAAGUCAGUGGUGAAAUCUCCAAGCUUAACUUGGAAACUGCCGUUGAUACUAUCUGUCUUGAAUAUUUGUGGAGGUGAGCGGAAUAUGUCAUGUAGCGGUGAAAUGACUUAGAUAUGACAUAGAACACCAAUUGCGAAGGCAGCUCACUACUCAAUCAUUGACUCUGAGGCACGAAAGCGUGGGGAUCAAACAGG
rnacentral:rRNA from 1 species